AUCACUCGUAGAAAAGAAAAACUAUUUGCAACCAUAUUAUCAUAAUUCAAGAGUGGAAAAGUAUGAAGAAAUCAUCAUUUCAAGUGGCUCUUUUUGUAUUCUUGUUUUUGAUUGCAUAUGGUAACCCUCCUCCCUUCUUCUUCUAUUGUCUUCCUUCGUUACAAUGCAAUGAUUUAUUCAUACCACAAAAAUGCAUACGUUGUAAUCAUGAAUAAUGCAGACAAUAAAGAGAACAAGUAUAUUCUUAAAAUUAUUAGUUUAUAUAUUAUAAGUUAUUGUUUUCAUUUGUUGAGUCAAAUAGAUUUGUGAAACUUAUGCUCAAUGAUGAUAGUUAAAUUGAAUUUUGAAAACUAUAUUUUCCUUAAAGAAUAUGUUUAACUUUCAGGUUUGACUGUACAAGCUCAAGAAUCCCAAUGCAAAAUUGACAAAGACUGUGUCGGACCUUGUCAGAGCCAAGGAGGAAAGGG
rnacentral:lncRNA from 1 species